CAGCAGUGGGGAAUAUUGCACAAUGGGCGAAAGCCUGAUGCAGCGACGCCGCKUGAGGGAUGACGGCCUUCGGGUUGUAAMCYUCUUUCAGCAGGGAAGAAGGCCUUCGGGUGGACGGUACCUGCAGAAGAAGCGCCGGCUAACUACGUGCCAGCAGCCGCGGUAAUACGUAGGGCGCAAGCGUUGUCCGGAAUUAUUGGGCGUAAAGAGCUCGUAGGCGGUUUGUCGCGUCUGGUGUGAAAUCCCGAGGCUCAACCUCGGGCUUGCAUCGGGUACGGGCAGACUAGAGUACUGUAGGGGAGACUGGAAUUCCUGGUGUAGCGGUGGAAUGCGCAGAUAUCAGGAGGAACACCGAUGGCGAAGGCAGGUCUCUGGGCAGUUACUGACGCUGAGGAGCGAAAGCAUGGGGAGCGAACAGGAUUAGAUACCCUGGUAGUCCAUGCCGUAAACGUUGGGCACUAGGUGUGGGGCUCAUUCCACGAGUUCCGUGCCGCAGCUAACGCAUUAAGUGCCCCGCCUGGGGAGUACGGCCGCAAGGCUAAAACUCAAAGGAAUUGACGGGGGCCCGCACAAGCGGCGGAGCAUGCGGAUUAAUUCGAUGCAACGCGAAGAACCUUACCAAGGCUUGACAUGCACCGGACGCUGCCAGANGAUGGUGGUUCCGCAAGGUCGGUGCACAGGUGGUGCAUGGUUGUCGUCAGCUCGUGUCGUGAGAUGUUNGGGUUAAGUCCCGCAACGAGCGCAACCCUCGUCCCAUGUUGCCAGCGGGUUAUGC
rnacentral:rRNA from 1 species